rnacentral:tRNA from 1 species
GAGGGUAUAGCUCAGUGGUAGAGUGCAUGCCUAGCAUGCACGAGGUCCUGAGUUCAAUCCCUGGUACCUCUA